UUGUCCCACCCACUACACCCCUCCAGGUGUAAAUUCAGGCCUAAUGAGCUUCACCAAUCAGGCCUGAUCUCAUGCAGACGGUUUGGUCUUGUUAGCUAAUUGAGUUUUUCCUUCUGUGUCAGCUAAGCUUAACCUGCAGUGGAACAGACAGGAUUCGAACAUUGUGCUUGAUUUCUACAAACCGGAUGGAGGACAGUUUUGGGAUCGAAUGCACCGUUCAGCGGCCUCAGCUCACCAUAAUGGAGGAGCAGCUGGAGGGAUAUUUCGAAGACGGCUCGGUGCUUAACUCCUCCGUCUGUGACCUAUCGGACGAAGAGGUUUCAACCAAGAAAGAGAAGCACAUGCGGCUCGGUCCUGAAGACCUCAGUGACACCCUGUUAUAUGAGUUAUAAGAAACUGUGAAUUGACGUGAAAU